AUUGAACGCUGGCGGCAUGCCUUACACAUGCAAGUCGAACGGUAACGGGCCUUCGGGUGCCGACGAGUGGCGAACGGGUGAGUAAUACAUCGGAACGUGCACGAUCGUGGGGGAUAACGAGGCGAAAGCUUUGCUAAUACCGCAUACGAUCUACGUAUGAAAGCAGGGGACCGCAAGGCCUUGCGCGGACGGAGCGGCUGAUGGCAGAUUAGGUAGUUGGUGGGAUAAAAGCUUACCAAGCCGACGAUCUGUAGCUGGUCUGAGAGGAUGAUCAGCCACACUGGGACUGAGACACGGCCCAGACUCCUACGGGAGGCAGCAGUGGGGAAUUUUGGACAAUGGGCGCAAGCCUGAUCCAGCCAUGCCGCGUGCAGGAUGAAGGCCUUCGGGUUGUAAACUGCUUUUGUACGGAACGAAAAGCCUUCUUUUAAUACAGGAGGGUCAUGACGGUACCGUAAGAAUAAGCACCGGCUAACUACGUG
rnacentral:rRNA from 1 species